rnacentral:rRNA from 1 species
UGGAUCAUGGCUCAGAUUGAACGCUGGCGGCAGGCCUAACACAUGCAAGUCGAGCGGAAACGAGUUAUCUGAACCUUCGGGGAACGAUAACGGCGUCGAGCGGCGGACGGGUGAGUAAUGCCUAGGAAAUUGCCCUGAUGUGGGGGAUAACCAUUGGAAACGAUGGCUAAUACCGCAUAAUGCCUACGGGCCAAAGAGGGGGACCUUCGGGCCUCUCGCGUCAGGAUAUGCCUAGGUGGGAUUAGCUAGUUGGUGAGGUAAUGGCUCACCAAGGCGACGAUCCCUAGCUGGUCUGAGAGGAUGAUCAGCCACACUGGAACUGAGACACGGUCCAGACUCCUACGGGAGGCAGCAGUGGGGAAUAUUGCACAAUGGGCGCAAGCCUGAUGCAGCCAUGCCGCGUGUGUGAAGAAGGCCUUCGGGUUGUAAAGCACUUUCAGUCGUGAGGAAGGUAGUGUAGUUAAUAGCUGCAUUAUUGACGUAGCGACAGA